GACGAACGCUGGCGGCGCGCCUAACACGUGCAAGUCGAACGAGCGAGAGAGAGCUUGCUUUCUCGAGCGAGUGGCGAACGGGUGAGUAACGCGUGAGGAACCUGCCUCAAAGAGGGGGACAACAGUUGGAAACGACUGCUAAUACCGCAUAAGCCCACGGCUCGGCAUCGAGCAGGGGGAAAAGGAGCAAUCCGCUUUGAGAUGGCCUCGCGUCCGAUUAGCUAGUUGGUGAGGUAACGGCCCACCAAGGCGACGAUCGGUAGCCGGACUGAGAGGUUGAACGGCCACAGUGGGACUGAGACACGGCCCAGACUCCUACGGGAGGCAGCAGUGGGGGAUAUUGCACAAUGGGGGAAACCCUGAUGCAGCGACGCCGCGUGGAGGAAGAAGGUCUUCGGAUUGUAAACUCCUGUUGUUGGGGAAGAUAAUGACGGUACCCAACAAGGAAGUGACGGCUAACUACGUG
rnacentral:rRNA from 1 species